AGAGUUUGAUCCUGGCUCAGAACGAACGCUGGCGGCGUGGAUAAGACAUGCAAGUCGAGCGGGGCAUUUCGGGUAGCAAUAUUCGAGGUGUUCAGCGGCGCAAGGGUGCGUAACACGUGGGUAAUCUUCCCUAAAGCUUGGGAUAACUCCGAGAAAUCGGAGCUAAUACCAAAUGUGAUGAUUGGAAGGCAUCUUCUGCUCAUCAAAGUUGGGGACCGUAAGGCCUGACACUUUAGGAUUAGCCCGCGGCCUAUCAGCUAGUUGGUGAGGUAACGGCUCACCAAGGCUAAGACGGGUAGCUGGUCUGAGAGGACGACCAGCCACACUGGAACUGAGACACGGUCCAGACACCUACGGGUGGCAGCAGUCGAGAAUUUUUCUCAAUGGGGGAAACCCUGAAGGAGCGACGCCGCGUGGGGGAUGAAUGGCUUC
rnacentral:rRNA from 1 species